rnacentral:rRNA from 1 species
CCUACGGGUGGCAGCAGUGAGGAAUAUUGGUCAAUGGGCGCGAGCCUGAACCAGCCAAGUAGCGUGAAGGAUGACUGCCCUACGGGUUGUAAACUUCUUUUUUAAAGGAAUAAAGGGAGGCAAGUGGGCCUUUUUGUCUGUACUUUAUGAAUAAGGAUCGGCUAACUCCGUGCCAGCAGCCGCGGUAAUACGGAGGGUUCGAGCGUUAUCCGGAUUUAGUGGGAUUAAAGGGAGCGUAGAGGGGUUGUUAAGUCAGUAGUGAAAGUUGGGGGCUCAAACGUAAGAUUGCUAUUGAUACUGGCAGCCUUGAGUGCAGUAGAGGAGAGCGGAAUUCCUGGUGUAGCGGUGAAAUGCGUAGAUAUAACGAAGAACUCCGGUUGCGAAGGCGGCUUACUGGACUGCCACUGACGUUGAUGCUCGAAAGUGUGGGUAGCAAACAGGAUUAGAUACCCUAGUAGUC